rnacentral:snRNA from 1 species
AUCGCUUCUCGGCCUUUUGGCUAAGAUCAAGUGUAGAAUAUUCUCUUCCCGUUAUCUAGAAAAAAAUGAUUAACAAAAUGCAAUAAUACUGAAUAUAUCUUUU